GCACACGCGCGCGCACCGCCGCUCUCCCUCCGACACACUGGAGGGAAAGGUCAAACUAAAGGCGAGCGAGCGGGGAGGCCGGAGGAGCCGCCGCCGCCGCAGGCCAUGACGGACGCGGCCGAGGCUGCUUUCUCUCCGCCGACGCCGCCGAGCCGCUGCUCUCGUCGCGCCCCCUGCCCCCGCCCCCAUGUCCGUUCUCCCCCUGUCCCCUACCCCCGGCGCUGGCGCGUCCCCGCGUCCCCUCCCCCCCGGAGCUUCAGGCGCGCGUCGGGCCUGGGGCGCGCGCCGGCCGGGAGCGGGCGCGGGCGCCACAGGGUGGGGGCUGCGGCGGACUGGCGGGCGGCUUCCCCGCGCGACCCCCGACCGCCUCGGCGAGAGCCCGCCAGGUUCGGGAUUGUGACAGCGGAGGAAAUGUCUGAAGGUGUCUUUGGUGGCCAAUCAGAGAACUGCCAGGACACCCUCCCCGGAGAAUUUAAUGUCAACAGGAGACUCUAGAAUUGGCCUAACCAGCACUGACUCAGCGUACCCCCCACCUGGAGGUCUCAUUGACCUUGGUGGCCUCGUGGAGAGGACCAAACCUGCAACCCAGGCAUGUGCCCUGACCAGGGAUUGAACCAGCGGCCUUCUGCCUUGCCGAACAACGCCCAGCCCACCGAGCAACACGAGUCAGGGAGAUACAAAUAAUGUUGGACGGCUGGGUGGACAGACGACAGAACGAGGGAUAGAAAGAAGGAACUGACCAAAGGACCAUGUGAAUGAGGUGCCCCAAUACUUUGAACCAGGACAGAGGGUAGAAGGAACUGACAAGAGAAUUCCCUUCAUGUGACGGCUGGUUUGGAAAGUGCUGCGGGUCCAGAGCGACCUGACACCGUUUCCCAGAACGCAGUCGUCACUGAGCCGGCCUGGGGAGCCGUCCAACGUGCGUCACGCCUUCUCAGAUCUGGUGCCGUGUAUUUAUAGCUGAUGCUGGGGGCGUUUCACUUGUUAAACAGCAAAGGAAAAAUGGUGGCAUGAUGGCCAAACAAAAGGCUAAUGGAAAUGGUUUUAAUAAUUAAUUUUUUUAAAGGCUUACAAAUGACAGUCCGGCUGAGAAGCUACAGAAGAAGCAUUUAAGGUGAAAUUUCAGCAAAAGGAUGCUGCUCUUUGGAUUGUAUUUCCAGAGUUAAAUAGGGGUAAUUUAAAAAUUGGAAGGAAGGAGGCCAGUGAUAAUUUUAUUUGCUUGCAUUUUUUUCCUCUUUAAAUAGCAAACCAUUUCUUGAAAGAAAGAUUUUUUUACAUUUAAGAGCUACGAGAUGGUGAGAGUUAAUAAAACGUGGAGUGGAAUGAAUUGGAAGCUGUAUGGCAUAAUACAGAUUUUAUUGUAUAACACAGUUUUCAAAAUCAUUCUUCAAUAGUAUUUUAGCUUCUUUUGUCCUUUACCCUGCUUGGUAUAUUACUUCUCCCAGAUAAUUAUCACAAAGCAAAAAGUUCUGUGGAGGUGUUUACUUGAAUUUUCCUCUUCCAUAUGUAAUUCUAUUAAUGGAUCUCAAUGAACUCUUAAUAAAUGGUUAACGAAAUUAUUUUCAUAAAUGUAGCAAUUCCUGUAUGUGAGAGAGAGAGAGAAUGGAACUUGCAUUUAUUGAGCACCUACCAUGCUCAGAAAACUAGUAGGCACUUUUUCACGAGGUAUCUCAGGAAAUCUCCACAAUUGCCCUAAAAGGCAUUUCCUAUUUUCCAGGUAAACACACGGGCCUGGCUGUGUUCCCGCCCACACAGCCUGUGUCACAGGUGGGGUUAGACCGGGCCCAGCUGACUUAAGUCUGUAGUUUCCACUUUGCGAUCCCGUGACCUUGCAGCAGGAAACCUUGUUAUCAAAGGCAAAUACAAGAGACAAAGAGAAAUGCCCCUGAGAUGUUCGUUUCCUAGCUCCUCCAGUCUUUUGCCUUUUGAGAAGAUGAGCAAACCCGGCUUCCCCGCUUUCACUAUUCUACUCAGCGCCCAGACUGGUGACGUGAA